rnacentral:misc_RNA from 1 species
GAUGAAGAACGUAGCGAAAUGGGAUAAGUAAUGUGAAUUGCAGAUUUCAGUGAAUCAUCGAAUCUUUGAACGCACCUUGCGCCUUGUGGUAUUCCACAAGGCAUGCCCGUUUGAGUAUCAUUAAAUCAUCAACUCUAAAACCUUUGUGGUUUUUUUAGAGCUUGGUCUUGAGGGUUUUGCAGGCUUUUUUUUUUCGAGUCUGCUCCCUUUAAAUGCAUUAGCGAGACUUCCCUAUGCUGAACCGUCUCUUUGACGUGAUAAUUAUCUGCGUCGAAUUUUGGUUCUCGUUGGGCUUGCUUCUAAUCGUCUGUUAAAGACAAAACGGAUUUGGGUGCAUAUAUGCGCCUUUUUCCAAAACCUUUUUUGAUCUCAAAUCGGGAAGGACUACCCGCUGAACUUAAGCAUAUCAAUAAGCGGAGGA